CAGCCGCCGCGGGAACACUGAGGGUGCAAGCGUUAUCCGGAUUUAUUGGGUUUAAAGGGUCCGUAGGCGGAUCUGUAAGUCAGUGGUGAAAUCUCACAGCUUAACUGUGAAACUGCCAUUGAUACUGCAGGUCUUGAGUAAAUUUGAAGUGGCUGGAAUAAGUAGUGUAGCGGUGAAAUGCAUAGAUAUUACUUAGAACACCAAUUGCGAAGGCAGGUCACUAAGAUCUAACUGACGCUGAUGGACGAAAGCGUGGGGAGCGAACAGGAUUAGAUACCCGCGUAGUCCCUGUCUCUUAUAA
rnacentral:rRNA from 1 species